GUACUCACGUAGCAGGAAAGCCGUUUUGAAUACAAAUGUCAUCAAUAGCGCAGCUACCAAACUGUCAUCAAACCAACAAAAAAGGCGACCAGUAUAUGUACUUGCUUGAUUUUCUUCAAGAAAUGGUUCAAGCGCCAAUAAAUUCAAUCAUGCAAAAUUAUCAAACUGCACCAACAAUUUUUUUUGUGCCUGAUGAUAAGGGACACGCCUAUCCAUAACAGUUGCAGUGCCACUCAGAGCUAUCGCUAAGGCCCGUCACCCUGACACACCCAGAUCGCCCAGCGUUCUUCACAAAUCAAAACGGAGCUAAGACCAUGAAAUUCCGAGGGUACUCAUAUACUCGACACUCUGUCUGCUCAUCAAGAGUCAAGUGGCUGUGUUCGGAGAGCAGGAAUAGAG